rnacentral:lncRNA from 10 species
AUGAAUUCAUUUGUCCAGCUUUGUGCCACAACUGCACUAGCUUGACUAAUGUAGCAUUAUGGUGAGUCUUGAAAUCAGUUCUUUGAAUUUCUCUACCGCUGAUGUUCAUAGUUUGGACUAUUCAGCAAGAUUUAAUGGAUACCGACUAUGUAUGCAACAUUGGAAAAUCAGCCAUCUUCCAACAAUGGCAACCAAAACAACAAACACCCCCUCCAAAAAAAAAUCCUAUACUAUUUGUUUUAUCUUAAGCCUUUUUCAGUGCAUGUUAAGAGAUUGAUUAAAAAGUCUCAUAAAAGACUUCAUAGCUUAUACACAAGUAGUCUUCUCCUUCAUGGCUCAGCAUGACCUUUCCUCAAUACUGAUUGACAAGACCCUCCAAUAAAAUGUUGAAUGGAAGUGCUGACAGCAACCCUCCUUAUCUUGUUCCUGACCUGAGGGAAAAGCAUCCAGUGUUUCACCAUUAAGUACGACGUCAGUUGGAAUACCUCUCUUCUUAUAUUACCAAAAAGUAAUAGAUGGUAUGACAUAUGUAAAUUAUCU